GCAGUCGGGCAUUUCGUCGCGCAUGGUUUUAGAGCUAUGUGAGGAAAGUCCGGGCAACAAGAGCACCAUACUUUUUAACGGAAAGCUAUCGGCGACGGUAGGUAAGUGUAACAGAAAAUAACCGCCGGCCUCGUGCCGGUAAGGGUGAAAAGGUGAGUGUAAGAGACCACCGGGUUCGGAGGCGACUCCGAAUGCCGUACACACUAUGGGUUGCAAGGCCAAAUAAACCGGCAGUUAAGGGUCGCUCUCCCGUUGCCGGCGGGUGGGCUGCUGGAGCUCCGCAGGCAACUGUGGAGUCGAGAUAAAUGACAGACGGCCUCAUUACGAGGCUACAUAACCCGGCUUACAACGCUACUGCCUUC
rnacentral:RNase_P_RNA from 1 species